UACAGAGGUCUCAAGCGUUUGUUCGGAUUCAUUGGGCGUAAAGGGCGCGUAGGCUGCGGGGCAAGUCGGGUGUGAAAUCUCAGAGCUCAACUCUGAAACUGCACUCGAUACUGCUUUGCUUGAGGACUGGAGAGGAGAUUGGAAUUCACGGUGUAGCAGUGAAAUGCGUAGAUAUCGUGAGGAAGACCAGUGGCGAAGGCGGGUCUCUGGACAGUUCCUGACGCUGAGGCACGAAGGCCAGGGGAGCAAACGGG
rnacentral:rRNA from 1 species